CCUCCACAUAUACCACCACCACCACCUCCAAACUUACCCCUUUCUCCUCUCUCUCUCUCUCUCUCUCUCUGUCUUUCUCAGAUUGUUCUAGUCCUUCCUUGGUGAGCAAAACCCUAGAUGGCCUAAAAGCAAUAGGACCAAUUUCACUGCCCAGUCCUCACCACCCUCACUGAUUCCUCUGGUGCAAACCCUUCUGAAUUUAUUCUCUCCAACCCAAACCAGUCUAAUUCUUAUCUUUCUUAAUUUCAAAUCACCACUUCGCCAUAGUCAUGGACGCACAGAGAGCUCUGCUAGAUGAACUUAUGGGCGCAGCUCGGAACUUGACGGAGGAAGAGAGAAAGGGGUACAAGGAAAUUACUUGGGAUGAUAAGGAGGUCUGUGGAGCCUAUAUGGUUCGAUUUUGUCCUCACGAUCUGUUCAUAAAUACCCGAAGUGAUCUAGGCCCCUGCCCUAAAAUUCAUGACCCAAAGUUGAAAGAAAGUUUUGAGGAGUCCCCAAGGCAUGAUGCAUAUGUGCCCAAGUUUGAAGCUGAACUAGCUCAGUUUUGUGAGAAAUUGGUGAUGGAUUUAGAUAGAAGAGUAAAGCGUGGGCGAGAACGCCUUGCUCAGGAGGUUGAACCUGCACCGGCACCUCCACUUUCAGCGGAAAAGUCUGAACAGUUAUCUGUUCUGGAGGAAAAGAUAAAGAACUUGCUGGAACAAGUUGAGACCCUUGGUGAAGCUGGAAAGGUGGAUGAAGCUGAAGCACUCAUGAGAAAGGUGGAUAUGCUUAAUUCUGAGAAGACAGCCUUGGCUCAACACCCUCAGAAUGAUAAAGUGUUAAUGCUUGCACAGGAGAAAAAAAUGGCACUCUGCGAGAUAUGUGGUUCAUUUCUUGUGGCCAAUGAUGCUUUAGAGAGGACUCAGUCUCAUGUUACAGGGAAGCAGCAUAUUGGUUAUGGCAUGGUCCGAGAUUUUAUCGCUGAGUACAAGGAAACUAAGGAGAAGGCAAGAGAAGAAGAAAGGUUAGCAAGGGAGAAAGAAGCAGAAGAACGGAGGAAACAGAGGGAGAAGGAAAAUGAGAGUAGAAGGAGAAGUAAUUCAAGUGAUAGGGACAGGUAUCGUGAUAGGGAUCGUGACAGGGAGCGGGACAGAUAUCGAGAACGUGAUUCAGAUCGUGAAAGGUCUAGAGAGUGGAAUGGCAGAGGUAGUCGGGAUGGAGGGAGAGGGGCGGAUUGGAGGUCCAGGAAUGGAAGAGAUGUGGGCAGGGAUAGGUACCGUGAUCGAAGCAGGUCACGUUCCCCUGUUAGACAUAGUCACAGGAGGUCACCUAGAAGUCCAGUUCGCCCAUAUUAAUGAAUUGUGUAGAUAGAUGUCUGAGCUUUGAAAUUUUUUGAGGUAGAUUUUCAUAUCUCUAAGGUUUUAUGAACAUGUUCAUUUGGAGUCUUAAUUAAAUUUUCAUCAUGGGAGAAACUCUUUUGCUAUCUCACAGCCUUGUUGAGACUAUACCAUCAAUAUUAUAAGCGGAGAAAAGGGUUGAGAGUCUCACAUCCCCAUUUGUUUGGAAGUCAUUGUUGGCUACUUUCUGUGUUGUCACAUAUUUAAGACAUCAGACCCGAAAAUGAAUGCAUGAUUGAUCCACCGCAGCUGGAAGAUGAUGGUUUUUAAUCAUUUUUGAGGUAACAUAUUUAUCAUCUAUAUGUCAUCGCCAACCGAUACAAUAUUUCCUCCCUUUCUUUCCUCCGUCUUCUAUCUGGUUUUCAGUUUUAACCACUCUAUUGCAAGUGGUGCUUGUUUGCUAUGUGUUUAACUGGGGAGGGAGAAGAUACCAAUCAUGAGAUGUGGAUAAUGUGCUACAUGUUGCUCUCGAGGUAGCUUUGGAAUCUACUACAGUGGACUGGGAUGCAAGGUGUUCCCUUCUUUUGCAAUAUAAGAUUGCAGUUAAUCGGUCGAUGGAGGGCAACCUUAUAUUCAUCUUGCCGAACUGCUUUAAGAGUGGACAAAUUGAAUUCCCUUCGCUGACGGGCAUCUCAUAUAUUCUUUAUCACCUUUGACUCGUUGUAAUCUUUACGAUAUUAUUUUAAUGACAUGCAUCAAGGAGUAGUGUU